rnacentral:rRNA from 1 species
UACGUAGGUGGCAAGCGUUGUCCGGAUUUACUGGGCGUAAAGAGCGCGCAGGCGGUCGUUCAAGUCGCGUGUGAAAGCCCCCGGCUCAACUGGGGAGGGUCACGCGAUACUGAUCGACUCGAAGGCAGGAGAGGGUAGUGGAAUUCCCGGUGUAGUGGUGAAAUGCGUAGAUAUCGGGAGGAACACCAGUGGCGAAGGCGACUACCUGGCCUGUAUCUUGACGCUGAGGCGCGAAAGCUAGGGGAGCAAACGGG